UCAUGUAUCUGACCCCAAAUAGUUGGGAAAAGGCUCAGAUGAUGAUGAUGAUGAUGAUCAUCAUCAUCAUCAUCUGAGCCUUAUCCCAACUAUUUGAGAUCAGAUACAUGA
rnacentral:pre_miRNA from 1 species